AUGAGGAAUGCAAUCAAUUGAUGGAUCAAGGUAUCAUAUCAAGAACAAACUCUCCAUGGGCAUGCAAAGCGUUCUACGUUAAUAAUCGUGCAGAACAAGCAAGAGGAAAACUCAGAUUAGUUAUCGACUACAAGCCGUUGAACCAAUAUCUGCAAGACGUCAAGUUUCCACUACCAAAUAAAAGAGCGCUUCUCCAACAUCUCCAAGGUGCAAAAUUAUUUUCGAAGUUUGAUCUAAAGUCAGGAUUUUGGCAACUCGGUGUUCAUCCUGAAGAAAGAUACAAGACUGCGUUUUGUCUUCCAAAUAGACACCUUCAAUGGAAUGUCUUACCGUUCGGUCUCAAGACGGCGCCAUCGCUAUUUCAGCAAGCAAUGUUACGUAUAUUCGAGCCAUUGUUACACACAGCUCUUAUAUACAUUGAUGACAUACUCAUCUUCUCGAAGAACGAAGAAGAGCACAUUAAGGCGCUACAACAGUUUCAAGACAUCGUCAAGAAAAGCGGAAUCAUGCUAUCAGCCAGAAAGAUGAUAAUAGCCCAGCCCAACAUUGAUUUUCUUGGCAUGCAUAUCAAAGAAGGAAGUUUCACACCACAGGCCCAUUUAGCUACAGAACUCCUAGAUUUUCCCGAUGAAAAUCUCACAAGGCGACAAAUUCAACAAUUUCUUGGAGUAAUCAAUUAUGUGGGAGACUUCAUUCCACACCUUUCCAGAAUGACAAGACCUCUACAGAAGAUGUUGUCGAAAAAUCCUCCUUUGUGGGCAUCACGACAAACUGAAGCUAUCAAAAGUCUAAAAGCAGAAGUGCAAAAGCUACCUCCUUUAAAGAUUCCCUCCUCAGGCAUGCGUAUUCUACAGACAGACGCUAGCGAUAAGUAUUGGGGAGCAAUACUGUUUGAAGAGAUGGAUGGGAAAAGACAAAUCUGUGGAUACAAGAGUGGUCGUUUCAAAGAUUCAGAGCAACAUUAUCACUCAACGUUCAAGGAGAUUUUAGCAGUCAAAAAGGCUAUCGAGAGGUUUGAAUUUCAUCUAAUAGGACACAAGUUUCGUAUUGAAAUGGAUAUGUCUUCGUUUCCCAAGAUGUUACAGUUCAAGCAGAAGAUGGUCCCGCAUCAGCAGCUACUAAGAUGGAGUGAAUGGUUCUCAAAGUACGAUUUCGAGUCAGUCUAUUUAAAGGGCACCAAGAACACUUUAGCGGACAUGCUAAGUCGAAAAUCUGUAAAACAAGAAACGCCCGACGAGAUACACAUGAUGGCCAGUUCCUCCGAAUCCAAGAAGAGCUACUAUGACUUUGAAGCAGACGUACCCAAAGAUGUUCAUCAACUCAUCAGCAGAAACAAGCUUCAUGAGCUACUACGCACAAAGAUCUUUUCAUAUCAAUCUACCAUCCUGACGAACUAUGGAGUAAACUGUCAUCACAUUGUUCCAAUGGGAAUUCAUCCUGACUAUCCGUUUGCUCAUCUUUACAGGAUCGAAAAUUCAAAUAUGCCAGAAGAAGUCCUCUGUUUCCUCUGGUAUCUCUGUGCAGUCUACACUGUAGGAAUUGCUUUCGACAUCCAAUGGCUGUACCACUACGUCAACACUGUUCAAGACAAAAGAGACAGCUUCUCAACGUUCCUAAGGUGGUUUUCACCAUUGACUGUCUGGAGUGGAAAACUACGAAGAUCCGCAAAUGCGACGAAUCUAACAUUCAAGAAGUUGAAGAAAGGUGGACUCAACCCAUUCUUCAAUCCACAUUCAAUCUACUUCUUUCAUCGUCCCGUUAAGGUCAACCGCAAAACAAGCAAAAUCCUCGCUCUUCCAACUCUCAUUCAUCACGGUGAUUUUUCAAGAGGAGUUCGUCCAGAUUUCAACCUUCAAGACAACGAAGCAUACGAGAACUUUCAAACUCAUGCAUUUCACCUCAACAAUGCAAGACAAACAUUCCCCAUUCCGUUCAUACCUAACUGGGUUUAUUAUCCAGUCGACUAUCAGAUGCAACUUGAUGAAGAUUUACAGUAUCACAUGAUGAAGUUCAACAAAGGAAGACCAAGCAGUCCAAAAGAAGAUAAACAAGAGACAACUCCCCAGAUGACUUCUCAAGAUUACUGUGCCGAUUACUUCAAAGACGCUCAAUCCCCAGAUGAUGAAGUAAACGUUGAAGAAAUCGAAAAGAAGUUCAAAUUCUACAUAAAUGUUCAACCAGGAGAAGAUGCACGAAUGAUCGAGAACUCGUAUGAAUGUCCAGGUGAUCAUUAUGGAUGCUGCGAAGAACAUAUGCUGGAGUUCGAAAUGGAUCAUUAAGCGGUAUGUUAAAUAUAAAAUAUAAUAUGAUAUGUUUAAAAUCAUGUAAAAUAAAUAAUGAUGUAAGCGAUGAUGUAAUCGCUGAUGUAUUGAUUAUGUAAGCAAUGAUGUAAGCGAUGAUGUAUCGCUGAGGUAAGCGCUUAUGUCAGCGCCUUAAAAACCUCCUAUAAAUAAGUGUGUACCCCUUGUAAGAUUUCAUAACUUGAAAUAUCAUAAAAUUUCAUAAUAGCUUUCUCUCUCUAAAAUGUUUCUCUAACUUCUCUCUAAGUUUUCCAGACUUCCUACUUUCUUCAUAAACCUUGUUUCUUUCUAUUCUAAACACAGUCGCGAUUCUGUAUUGUUCUCUUAAGGUUAGCAUAAGUGGUCCGUCAAUACGACGGUCGAACACGGCAGUCAAUAGUACUCGCCGGGGUUUCACAGUUCCUAAUAGUGGGUUGAGCAACACAGAGGCAAGAGGCCCGAAUCGCUCCCUUUACCUGGAAUAUGAACCCUUGCUUGUAAACACGACUGUCGUCUAGACUUAGUCAGCACGAGCGGAGAUCAAUUGUUAAAAAAUUUUUGCUAAAAAUUUGUUAAAAAAUUCUGAAUCUGAACCAUGAAUCUAGUGCCUUCUUUUUAUUUUGCCAACCAACUUUGAGAAAAGGUGGCCAAAAGCGAAGAAAAUAAUACUUUUAAAAUUUCAUAUAAUUAAAAGCUUAAAAAACUUUGUCGCCGAAGCGUAAAAGAAAAUCUUUGAUCUUUGGAAAGGAAGAGAGCAGAGCAGGCACGAUUAAUCCAAAGCAGUUGCGUUGUUCUGCGAUCACGAAGCGGUCUCUCGGAAAAUCUCUCGACGCUAGACAUCAUCGAUUCGUAUAAUUCAGUUUGCCUUGGAACUCUCUAUGCGGAAGAACCCUAAUUGAUUCGCCAUGGGAGAUUCCGUUUCUUCUUCUUCAACCCGCGUUUCUGUUCAUCAAUCUCUUGGUGCUGGUUCUGUUGCUGAUUUGCUGCUAUGGAGAAACCAGACCGGUGCAACCAUUUUGCUAAUCUCUUCUACUGGGUUUUGGUUCUUAUUUGAGAGAGCUGGGUACAAUCUCUUGUCUUUCGUCUCCAAUGUUCUGCUUCUUCUCGUUGCCAUCCUCUUCUUAUGGGCCAAGUCUGCUACAGUACUCAACCGACCUCUACCUCCAGUUCCGAAUAUGGAAAUCCCUGAGGAGUUUGCGAUUAAGGCUGCUGAUGAUCUUCGGGUUUGGAUCAAUCAUGUACUGUCAAUUGCAAGUGAUAUCACCAUAGCUAGAAAUCCGAUUCGUCUCCUUCAGGUUAUAGUCUAAUCUUGUUUUUCAUAACUGGGCGAAACUAUUUGUUGUAUCGUUUUGACUCUGGAUAUCUUCUGCGUGUUAUUAUUAUGUAUCACAUCUCGUUGGUUUUUGCUGUGAAACAGGUUUCUCUUGUCUUGUGGGCUAUAUCCUAUGUUGGGACUUUAAUAAACUCCUUCACUCUUGUUUACAUUGGAAUUCUUCUCAGUCUUUCUUUUCCUAUCGUGUAUGAGAAGUACCAAAACCACAUUGAUGAGAAAGUGAACUCGACUUCUAAAUUUGUUCGAAGUAUCUCAAGGAAGUUUCCGAUGCCCAUAAACAAAGAGAAGAAACAUCAGUAGGUGAAAAAAACAGUCCAUUUGUUCACCAGACUAAUUACAGCUACAAGAAGGAGCCAUCACUGUAAUGCUACAAGAGGAUGGAUAGUCAAGAGCAGCGGAAAAAAGUGAAUCACAGUACAGAUUUUCGUUCAUUUCUUUCUGUUUCGCUUACUAGGUUUAUCAGAGUUUUCUUCUCACGUGUUUUUGCUGUGUUCAAGAUUCAUGAGUUUCUGGGUUUUUUUUGCUCUUUUAUUAGUUUACACGAAUGCUUUGUGGCAUUAUUGUUGCAGUAGAAACGACAAACGAGAGAUAGAUGAAUCUAAAUACAAUUUGAGGGGUUAUUCAAUAUUUAAUUUGUUGAUUUUUAAAGACUA